rnacentral:rRNA from 1 species
GAUGAACGCUAGCGGGAGGCCUAACACAUGCAAGCCGAGCGGUAUUGUUUCUUCGGAAAUGAGAGAGCGGCGUACGGGUGCGUAACACGUGUGCAACCUGCCUUUAUCUGGGGGAUAGCCUUUCGAAAGGAAGAUUAAUACUCCAUAAUAUAUUGAACGGCAUCGUUUAAUAUUGAAAGCUCCGGCGGAUAGAGAUGGGCACGCGCAAGAUUAGCUAGUUGGUGAGGUAACGGCUCACCAAGGCGAUGAUCUUUAGGGGGCCUGAGAGGGUGAUCCCCCACACUGGUACUGAGACACGGACCAGACUCCUACGGGAGGCAGCAGUGAGGAAUAUUGGUCAAUGGGUGCAAGCCUGAACCAGCCAUCCCGCGUGAAGGACGACUGCCCUAUGGGUUGUAAACCUCUUUUGUAUAGGGAUAAACCUACCCUCGAGAGGGUAGCUGAAGGUACUAUACGAAUAAGCACCGGCUAACUCCGUG